rnacentral:rRNA from 1 species
UACAGAGGUCUCAAGCGUUGUUCGGAUUCAUUGGGCGUAAAGGGUGCGUAGGCGGCGCGGUAAGUCGGGUGUGAAAUCUUGGAGCUUAACUCCGAAACUGCAUUCGAUACUGCCGUGCUUGAGGACUGGAGAGGAGACUGGAAUUUACGGUGUAGCGGUGAAAUGCGUAGAUAUCGUAAGGAAGACCAGUGGCGAAGGCGGGUCUCUGGACAGUUCCUGACGCUGAGGCACGCAGGCCAGGGGAGCAAACGGG